rnacentral:lncRNA from 1 species
UAAUGGAAGGUCAUAUAAUGGAAGGUCAUAUUUUCCUGCUUCUUCACAGUUUGUGCUAAAUGAGAAAUAAAACAGCAACCAAAGAAGCAAACAUCAAAAUGUCCACAAUAUUAUUGACAGACCUAUUGGAUAUUCCACCACCAGGUCACACAUCUUGCUGGACAAAUGUCGACCUUCUGUCCUUUAGGGAUACACCUCCCUCCCAGGGCAAAGCAAUCCAGGAUGUGGUUCUUGACAACAAACCAGCAACAGAAAAGAGAAAUUCUCAA